GUUUUGAGUCACCAAACGUGCGUCCUGCUCAGCCUUGCCCAGGCAACUGUGAACGACAGCCCUUUCCAGAGGACCUCAGAAUGACAGGGGCAUGUCACAGCACCUUCCUUUCUUCCAAGAAAUGCCAGGUCACAGGGGGUGUUCACUUAUUCUCAAGUGACAUUCUUGUCCUUAAAAUAUUUUUUUCCUCCAUUAUGGUUGUGACAAUUGUUAGCAUAAAUAUUAGCCUGAAAGAAGGACAAUUCUUAUGAAGCCCAAAUUGGGUUUAAGUUAUAAGUAACAGUUGUGUUUUUAAAAAAUAACUCAUCCUCAUCAUACAACCAGAUAAAGUAGAAAUCAAUUGUCAUAUAAGAUAUACAAAAUUUGGGUAUAAAUAAAAAGAUAACAACUGGAUUAAAAUGAUCCUUUGCCAUAUUUUACUCUCUUGGAAGUGAACUCUGAGCAUACAUAUAAUGAUAUGCCUAAAAAGUGUCAAUGACACAGCUAUUUUCAAUGAAAUUAAGGAAAUAAAAGACCCAAAAUGCUCAUACUUAAGAUUUGUUAAACCUUAUCCCUGGUCAACAUUCUAUGCAGAUCUGAAACUGAAACUAUUGCAAAAUGAUGCAAGACUGUAAGUACUCUCUGGAGUUUGGGUGCAUUAUUUUUGUAAUUCCUUUUAUGUAAUGGAACUAUUUCUUUUUCCAGGGCCAUAUAAACACCUGAAGAGAGGACGAUGUCAGGUCGACAGAUUGUGGAAUUUAGAUUCAGCACCUAAGCUAUUUGAGGUUGACACUCACUGAAAUCUUGAGUGUUUGCACCUGCUGUGGAAUAAGUCAUUGUCCUUGGACACCUUACAAGGUGGAGUUUGUGCACAUUUGGGAAGAAGGAGGCGGCUGGCAGAGUGACUUCCUUAUCGACCCACUCACCAGCAUCUCCAUCUCCCUCAGGGGGUGCUGUCCACCCACCGUGUUUUGUUUACAUCAGUAGCAAAGACAUAUGAAUCAUCUUCCACUUUUUAGCUAUGAAUGAAGAAGUAACCUCUGACACCCACUAGUGCGACUGGCCCUUACAUGCUGGUAUAUGUCAGACUCUUAGCAUCACUCUCAUUUCAUACUGCUGUUGAUGAUGUGAAUUUUGGAAAUAUUCUCCCCUAUUGGGUCUUUCUCCAUGACAGAUGAUGUCCUUUGGCUUCGGUUUUUUGCCUAAGAACUGUAAGUGGUGCUUGCUAGCCCUACUAAGAAUCCUGCCAUUGUUGCAAAUUUCAGAAAAAAGGCUGGAGUGCAGUGGUGCACACGCCUCACACUGUGACACAGCGGGAGAGCCCAGAGCGACAGCUGUUGGAAUGACUGCACUCUUCCUGCUCAAGUCUGACCUUUCCAAGCCUUUGUCCUAUGUCUGGAGACUUCUUGGAAGCUGGAGCACACAAAUAGCUACAGCAAACUUGAGGAAUGGGCAUGAAUAGACUGGCUUCGGGGAACCUGCCAGCUUGGCCGUGUGGCCAAGGUAAUAGGCAAGCCAAGGCAGAGCUAGAGCUCAGAGCUGGAGGGGAAAUUAAAGCAGCAAAUGUAGAAACAUUAAGCCUGAAGAGGCGACGACGUUGAAUUCUAAAAUGCAGGCCAAAGCUCAGACUGCAAGCUGUCUGGCUGCUCCGGGUGUGCCCAGAAGUCAAAGUCCAGCAGGGGCAAAGGUGGAGGUGUGGUCCUGCACGUGGGGUGUUGGGGGGAUGUGGAAGAGGAGGUGCUUUAAGAUCCAGAGAUUCCAGCUGCCCUGGUGCACCCUUGGAAGAAUAAAAGGCUAGGAACUGGACAAGUCAGGCUCGAGUCCAAGCUGCCUGAGGAAUCGGGGAAAGAAUGGAGCUCAGAGUGGGAGGUCAGGGCAGUAUUUAAAAAUCCAGGAUAGCAGCAAAGCUGGCGGUGGCCCCUGACUCUGGUAAGGGCAGCCUGCAGCACCAUGCCAAGGGGGGCCUGACUGAUCAUGCCCUGCAUUUGCAAACAAGGAUUAGUAGGGUAUGAGUAGGAUUCUGCUGGUGCCUGGGAAGGCAGUGCCAUCUACAACUUUACAAAGUUUUAACAAAGGCCUGAAGGACACAACCUUCCCCAAAGUCCUGACGUCGCUGUUUGCUGGCAACAAAUAGAGUCAAAAGAAGAGAGGCACAGAAUGUGCCAGGGGUGUGCUGCGUACAGCCCCGAUGACCACAAGGCCUUCUUGGGUCAAGUUCUGCCAUCUCUGGUUAAGAUGGGCUCACCCUCUAGGACCCUGAUUGAGUCCUCGGACCACCAAGAGUGCCCCACCAAGAGCCUCCCUCUUCUGGUGACUCGUGCCUGCUUCCCGUGGAGAGCUCCAGAAGGGAGGAAACUGUGAGGAGGUGGAGAACGUGGCAGGGAUCCUAACUUUCUUACUGAAGGAAGUUCUUCACAAGUACCCAUCUGCCUUCAGGGAAGAAAACAUAACUCAUUUUGGUCUUUCAAAUUCAGUUCUCAAAACCAAAUCCUGUUGUCAGCAAUCUGUGUCCCAACGCCUUCUUCAGCAACAGCAUUUUCCCUGUGGAAUUAGUUUCCAAUGUUCUUUCUUAAAUAAACCACUGAAGAUUAAAAGGAAUCCAGAUACCCACCACAUUUUGUUUCCUUAAUGAGUAAUUAUCACAUUUCUUUGGCUACUUAAAUGCAUUCUCUGAGUCAGGUAAAGGAGAUCGUAAUAGUUAAUCAACAAGAAGUAAUUCUUGGGUACUUAACAAUAGUCUAAGCACUUAAUCAUACUUAAAAUUGACUAUUAAUGAACCUUAUAAACCAUUUUGCAAUUCUGAAAGUGAAUUUCUCUGCAGGCUUAGAGAUUACUAAGCCAUUUAGAUCUUACCAAACAAAUAUUAUUCAUGCUUUAAUUCCUGGGAAAAGAAAUUUAGAAAAUGAGGUUAAUGUUCAGUUGUCCUUUCCUGAGUUUAACAAUUAUAUAUUCCAUCUGGGAUGCUCUGAACUCAGGUUAAACAUUCUUCAAGUUAUUCCCACAUUUUUCAAGUUAUUCCCACGUUAGUGACCUACUUUAUUAGUAUUAUUACUAAAGAAAAGGGCUGGGUGCGGUGGCCCACAUCUGUAAUCCCAGCACUUUGGGAGGCUGAAGCAGGAGGAUCACUUGAGCUUGGGAGUUCAAGACCAGCCUGAGAGGGAGACUCCGUCUCUACAAAAAAAAAAAAAUUAGCCAGGUAUGGUGGCACGCGCUCAUGGGCCCAGCUACUCAAGGAGGCUGAGGUGGGAGGAUCACGUGAACCUGGGAGGCAGAGCCUGCAGUGAGCCCUGGUUGUGCCUCUGUACUCAAGCCUGAGAGACAGAGUGAGACCCUGUCUCCAAACAAUAAAGUAAAAUAAAUAAAUAAAUAAAUAAGAAUGCAAAUCAAAGACAUUAAGAAAUAGCUUUACUUUAAUGUAGGCAUUUAAGGUAAAAUAGGUCACAUUCUCUUUUUUAAAAAAAUUACUGACCCACAGAAAAACAAGUCAAAAAGCAGACUAUUUCAUAUUAGUGUCUUUUUUUUAAAGAGGAUUAAUAUAAAUUGCCUUCUCACCUGUUUUUAAAAUAAAGGACUGAAUGAUAGAACUUAGACAACAAAUCUAGUAGCAUGAUAAAAGCCUUUCUUUGAUAGCUAGAAAAGGUAAACAAAGAAUAAAACAGGGUGAAGAAGAAAGAGGACAGAUAGAAUGUGAAUAUUAUCUACCUUUUUCUCAAGAUAAAACUAAUAUUGCUUUCUAAAAAGAAGCAAUUCUUUAGAGCAGAGGUCAGCAAACUUUUUCUAUAAAGAGCCAGAUAUUAACUAUUUUAUAAUUUGCAAACCACAUAAGUCCUCUGUUUCAUAUGGGUUUUUUUCUUUUUUCUUUUUAAACAAUACUUUAAAAAUGCUGAAAAUAUUCUUAGCUUACAUCUACAAAAAAGCAGGCAGUGGGCUGAUUUGACUCACAGGUGGUAUAGCUUGCUAAUUCCUGCUUUAGAUUUUAAGAAUGAGGCAGAUGUUGCCAGAAUUUGCUCUAAUUUACUAUGAGGUUUGCAAAUAAAAGUGCUCUUGACAUGAAAACUUGCUAUUUUUAAUGGAAAGACAUGUACAGCCCUUUCUCAGGAAGUGGAGAUUAAUGCAUAAAAUUUUAUUUUCCUAACAUAAAGCAUGUUUUUUCAAAAAAUGGCUUCUCCAUCUUGUGGCCCUUUGAUUAUGAUAGCUCUGAAAGCUUUGAAAAGCUUGCAAAUACUCAACUUCAGGAAUAAAACCACCUAUGAGACCCUCACCUGAAGGCAGGAUCUUUCCUGCAGCCUUGAGUCUUCCUAAUCAGAACCAUUGUUUCGUAAACUGGACUCCGAAGACAACACUUAAAGUCACUCAAGUUCGCUACAAAAUUCUUGUUUUGUGUUUUCAUUUCUAAAGACAAUAAAAAUAAUUGAUAUGAUCAAGUUUGGGAUUAUCUAGAUGAUCUAGACAACUAUUGCGGUCAAAAUAGGCCUGAUCACAGGCAUUUUCAGUACCCAUGGAAUUCUAGAGCUUUGGAUACUUGUCUAGUCUGUUUGGGUCACUAUAACAAAAUGCCAUAAACUGGGUGCUUAUAAAGAACAGAAUUUUAUUUCCCACAGUUCUGCAGGCUGGGAAGUCCAAAAUCGAGGCAGAUUUGAUGUCCUCAAGUGAUGGAAGAAUCAAGAGGUCUCUCUGGGGGCUCUUUUAUAAGGGCACUAACCCCAUUCAUGAGAGCAGAGCCUAAUUACCUCCCUAAGGCCCCAACUCCUAAUACUAUCACCUUGAGGGUGAGGAGGGAAACAUAAAAAUACCAUAGUAAUACUAAUAGGUACAUCAGUGAAGAACAAUAUCACAGUAUCGUGUAGACAGGAAGAUUUUGCUGCAAUUUGGUUGUUAAAACAAAAAGUCGUGGGUGGAUACAAUCAUCAGACAGUUCAGAAGUGGCAUCCACGUACUCACCCAAAGGAGGUGCACUGCAGUUGUGGGAGCCCUGUGCUUGCUACUAGCAGUGACUUAAUUUCUGCAAAGCUAUGUGAUCACAUUCAACUAUGCUAGUUAACUUUAAUUUUACUGAAUUUGGUUUAGGUAGGUAGUUUGUAAAUUUAACUUUCUACUUGUAUAAGAAGUAUAAUUAUAAAAACAGCAGGUCAGCACGACAGGUCUGAGAGAAUCUGUAUUCUGUAAAAAAAUACCUAUUUCUUACUUGGCGAAAAACAUUAGUCAAUGUUGCACCAAAAACCCCCCAAAAGCUAUAGAUCAGAUAUUGACUAAAAUGAAUAUACAAAAAUCUUGACUGGAAAUAUUUUAAGUCAAAACUAACAGCCUAUUUCAGGUAUUGACAGAACAAAUUCCAGAAGCAGAAUAACUGAAACAAUCAUGUUGAAAUUAAUUAUAAUGGGCAGAAUUUGACUGAAACUUGUUACCACCUUCACCAAAAUAUAGCCUUUCUUAUACUAUCAAAUGUAUUGAAUAAAUUGUGAGCACUUUCUUGUACAACUUCUAAAAAUUUAGCUUUGCUUUUGUUAUCUGAAUAUUGUACAGGAAUAUGAGCAUGCAAAUAAGAUCUUUGUUUAGUUUCAAGUCUUUUUAUAACUAAAUCUGCUGGCAUUAGACAAUAAAUACAUUUUCAAAAUAUGAAUAGUCUCUCAUUUGAUUCAAAUUAGAUGAGUUGUUUUGCAUGUUUCUUAUCAAUUAUGCAAUUAUUGUCUUAGUUUAAAUAUAAUCUAAUAGCUGACGCUGCAUUCAUAUGCUAUGCUGGAUUCCUAGCUAAAAUGAAAUCAGUAUGCUAGUAAAAUAUUUUUCAUACAUGUUAUUUGGAACUUUGCUUCUCAAUUCUAUAACAAGAAUUCCCUUUGGUAUCUGUAUUUUUUUUCCCUUGUGUGUUAAUAUGCAUAUAAUCUUUCUUUGUUUACCUACCUUUUUAAGGUAGGUUAAAGGGAUAAAAGCAGUAACUCAUAUGUUUUGGUCUCAGGCCACCUUUACACUUUUAAGAAUUGUUGUCUGGGUGCGGUGGCUCACGCCUGUAAUCCCAGCACUUUGGGAGGCCAAGGUGGAUGGAUCACCUGAGGUCAGGUGUUCGAGACCAGCCUGGCCAACAUGGCAAAACCCUGUCUCUACUAAAAACACAAAAAAAUUAGCCAGGCAUGGUGGCACGUGCCUGUAGUCCCAGCUACUUGGGAGGCUGAGGCAGGAGAAUCACUUGAAUCUGGGAGGCGGAGGUUGCAGUGAGCGGAGCUUGCGCCAUUGCACUCCAGCCUCGGCAACAAGAGCGAUACUCUAACUCAAAAAAAAAAAAAAAGAAUUGUUGAGAAACUCAAAGAGGUUUCGCUUACAUGGAUUAGGUCUAUUGCUAUUUACCAUAAUAUAAAUUAAAACUGAAAAGUUUACAAAUAUUUUAAUGCAUUUAAAAUAAUAAUAAAACUCAUUACAUGUCAACAUAAAUAACACAUUUUCUGAAAAGUAAUUAUAUUUUCCAAAGCAAAAAUAGAAAUAUGCUUUUAUUUUACAUUUUUGCAGAUCUCUUUUAUACCUGGCUUAAAAGAAGAUAGCCAGAUUUUAAUUUCUCUUUCUGCGCUCAAUUUAUUGUAUUAUUUUGCUUUGGUUUAAGUAUAUGGAGAAAAUCUUGUUUCACACAAAUGUGUAGAUGGAAAAGAAAACAGUAUUUAACAGCAUUUUCAAAUAAUUAAUUAUGGAUGUUCUUCUUUGAUACUAUACUAAAACUCAGCAAGUGAUAGCUUCUUACAGGUUUGUUACAACAUGAUAUCUGAAACUGUAUCAAUAAAAAUUUCAUACUCUGUUACAUCAAAAUUCACUGGUCUAAAAAAAUUCAUUGAUCUAUUUGGUGCUUGAGACAGACAUUUGACUCAUGACUUUUGUAAUAUUAAGUAUUGGUCAUCUGGAAAAUUUGGUUCCAUAAGAUAUGCAGAUCUUGUUAAUGUUGAUCUAUGUCACUAUGCAAUAUCAAAAAUCACAUCUGUUAAUAUCA
rnacentral:lncRNA from 10 species